AUGAACGCUAGCGACAGGCUUAACACAUGCAAGUCGAGGGGCAGCGGGGGUAGCGAUACCCGCCGGCGACCGGCGCACGGGUGAGUAACGCGUAUGCAACUUGCCUAUCAGAGGGGGAUAACCCGGCGAAAGUCGGACUAAUACCGCAUGAAGCAGGGGCCCCGCAUGGGGAUAUUUGCUAAAGAUUCAUCGCUGAUAGAUAGGCAUGCGUUCCAUUAGGCAGUUGGCGGGGUAACGGCCCACCAAACCGACGAUGGAUAGGGGUUCUGAGAGGAAGGUCCCCCACAUUGGUACUGAGACACGGACCAAACUCCUACGGGAGGCAGCAGUGAGGAAUAUUGGUCAAUGGGCGUAAGCCUGAACCAGCCAAGUCGCGUGAGGGAUGAAGGUUCUAUGGAUCGUAAACCUCUUUUAUAAGGGAAUAAAGUGCGGGACGUGUCCCGUUUUGUAUGUACCUUAUGAAUAAGGAUCGGCUAACUCCGUGCCAGCAGCCGCGGUAAUACGGAGGAUCCGAGCGUUAUCCGGAUUUAUUGGGUUUAAAGGGUGCGUAGGCGGCCUUUUAAGUCAGCGGUGAAAGUCUGUGGCUCAACCAUAGAAUUGCCGUUGAAACUGGGGGGCUUGAGUAUGUUUGAGGCAGGCGGAAUGCGUGGUGUAGCGGUGAAAGGCAUAGAUAUCACGCAGAACCCCGAUUGCAAAGGCAGCCUGCCAAGCCAUUACUGACGCUGAUGCACGAAAGCGUGGGGAUCAAACAGGAUUAGAUACCCUGGUAGUCCACGCAGUAAACGAUGAUCACUAGCUGUUUGCGAUACACUGUAAGCGGCACAGCGAAAGCGUUAAGUGAUCCACCUGGGGAGUACGCCGGCAACGGUGAAACUCAAAGGAAUUGACGGGGGCCCGCACAAGCGGAGGAACAUGUGGUUUAAUUCGAUGAUACGCGAGGAACCUUACCCGGGUUUGAACGCAUUCGGACCGAGGUGGAAACACCUUUUCUAGCAAUAGCCGUUUGCGAGGUGCUGCAUGGUUGUCGUCAGCUCGUGCCGUGAGGUGUCGGCUUAAGUGCCAUAACGAGCGCAACCCUUGCCACUAGUUACUAACAGGUAAAGCUGAGGACUCUGGUGGGACUGCCAGCGUAAGCUGCGAGGAAGGCGGGGAUGACGUCAAAUCAGCACGGCCCUUACAUCCGGGGCGACACACGUGUUACAAUGGCGUGGACAAAGGGAGGCCACCUGGCGACAGGGAGCGAAUCCCCAAACCACGUCUCAGUUCGGAUCGGAGUCUGCAACCCGACUCCGUGAAGCUGGAUUCGCUAGUAAUCGCGCAUCAGCCAUGGCGCGGUGAAUACGUUCCCGGGCCUUGUACACACCGCCCGUCAAGCCAUGGGAGCCGGGGGUACCUGAAGUCCGUAACCGCGAGGAUCGGCCUAGGGUAAAACUGGUGACUGGGGCU
rnacentral:rRNA from 1 species